rnacentral:rRNA from 1 species
GAUGAACGCUGGCGGCGUGCCUAAUACAUGCAAGUCGAGCGAACAGACGAGGAGCUUGCUCCUUUGACGUUAGCGGCGGACGGGUGAGUAACACGUGGGUAACCUACCUAUAAGACUGGGAUAACUUCGGGAAACCGGAGCUAAUACCGGAUAAUAUUUCGAACCGCAUGGUUCGAUAGUGAAAGAUGGCUCUGCUAUCACUUAUAGAUGGACCUGCGCCGUAUUAGCUAGUUGGUAAGGUAACGGCUUACCAGGGCAACGAUACGUAGCCGACCUGAGAGGGUGAUCGGCCACACUGGAACUGAGACACGGUCCAGACUCCUACGGGAGGCAGCAGUAGGGAAUCUUCCGCAAUGGGCGAAAGCCUGACGGAGCAACGCCGCGUGAGUGAUGAAGGUCUUCGGAUCGUAAAACUCUGUUAUUAGGGAAGAACAAACGUGUAAGUAACUGUGCACGUCUUGACGGUACCUAAUCAGAAAGCCACGGCUAACUACGUG